GUUGCUACACCACAUCACCAGGUGGACGUUGUUGAGGCUCCACCUCUUCAGCUCACAGAACUUAACCUGGUGUCAGUCACUGAAAAAACGGGCAACAUCAGAUGCAAGCUGGGAAAGAUAAAUCCAGAAUGACACUUGCCAGCCUCUCUGGAUCCCCAAAUCCCUUCUCUCUUCAUCAGCUGCCAUCUGUGUCCUUUGUCCAGAAAUGGCAUCUCUUGGAAGCAACACACUGCUGUUGGAGGGCACAGCCUGGCAGUGUGCUGCCCUGAGGAAAUACUGCUCAGCAGGCUCUGAUUUGGGGCAGCUUCCAGUUUCUGUGGUGUGAGUCCUCCCUUCACGGCCAACCUGAAGGCGCUGAUGAGACCCACUUAACGCAGAACUGGAGGAGAUGGGAGGGACCUCCUCACACCGAGUAAGACCCCAAAGCAAAAAUCAACUACAUCAGAGUAAAAGGCUUCUGCACAACAACGGAAAUCAUCCAUGAAAUGAAAAGGGAACCUAGAGAAUGGGAGAAAAUAGCUGCAAGUCAUACGUCUGAUAAAAGAUACUAUCCAAAACAUAUAAAUAGCUCACACAAUUUAAUAGCAAAACAAUGUGAUUAAAAAAUUAUCACAGGAUCUGAAUUUUUCCCAAGGAAGACACACAGAUGUCCAACAGACACAUGAAAAGAUGCUCAACACCAUGGUCAUCAGGCAAAUGCAGAUCGAACCACAGUGAGACAUCACCUCACACCUGUUAGAAUGACUGGCAACAAAGACAUGAAACACCAAGUGUUGGAACAAAGGUUUACUUCAGGACCGUGAACAGCCACCGCUCACCCCACCUCCCACAACGACCUCUCAUUUGGUAUGGGACUCCCGAAGGUGAGGGUGGAUUCAGCACUGGGUCGUGGACAGCUCCAUCUGGUGGGCUCCCAGACAUGUACCUUCUCCACUGGCUCUUGAAUGUUAUAUUAAAGAAGGUAUGUAAAUAUGAGUAUAUGAUUUACAUGUGCUGUAUGAAGAAUAUUUUCUAGGCACAUAUCUUCUCUAAUUGUUUACAUGCACUACAACUAUAUUUGAAGCAUAUAUAGACUUUUUUUCCUCUAAAGAUGUGUUCACCAAAAACACAUUUCAUAGGAGAAUACUUGAUCUUGUUUGAAAAGGGGUAACAGGAACUUACAGUUCAUUUGGGGUCUGAAGUCCAAGACCCUUUGAAAUAGGGGUAGUAAUCAAGCUAAAGACAUUAUGAACACAGAUUAACCUUGUCCAAGAACUGAGAUUUCCCCUUGCCCUCACUCAUUUUCAUCAGAGAAUGUAUGCACCAAUGGCUGGUGGUGAAUUUUUGUUGAAUUCUCCAAAACACAUCAAGAAGAUUGGUCAUAGCCUAAAAAUGUUAAAUAUUCCUCUGCCAAAGGCAGUGUCCUGUUAGAAGGUUGUACACUCUCUGGAGAAGGAUGGGAUAUCUGGUGGAUGACCAGAGAGACAAGAAUGCCCAAAUAAUCCCAAGAAAAAGCCAGCCACUGAAUCCCUGCUUUCUAUGGUAAAUAUCUUCCUAGUCAGAGACAUUUUCAAAAAAUUCACCAAGGAUGAAACAUCACAAGAUUAUGCUUUAACUAUUAACAAGCUGAUUGUAAAAUCUAUAUGGAAAUGAGAAAGGAGUGUAAGAACCAAAAAGUUCUGAAGGAAUUGUGUGAAAGCCUCACACUAUCCAGUUUCCAGCAUUACUAUGAAGCUACCAUAAGAAGGAUAGGACGGUAUUAGAAUAAGCACAGACACACAGGCAACUGGAGCAAAAUAGGGAUGAAGAAAUAGAUCCACACCAGUAGAGUCAAUGGAUUUUUACUAUGGUUCCAAGACGAAUCAAUGGAGAAAGGAUGUUCUUCCUAUCAAAUGUUGCUGGAGCAAUGGGCUAUGCCACUGGGGCUGUUGGGGUGUGUCCAUCUCUACCAGAUGCUGUAAUCGGCGUUGCACAGUGGCCACACCACGUGCAGUCCCAUCAGCAGUGUGUGAGGGGCCUGGUAGGGCCACAGCCACGUCAGCCCUGGGUUUUCUGCCGUUGCACCUGAGCCUCCCUGUGCAUGUACUGGUACCACAUGGGACUGAAUGUCCAUGUUCCUGAUGAAUUAUGGUGCACCAACUUUUCAAAAUACUGCUGUACACUGGAUUUCAAGUUUUGGAAGUGCUUGUCAAUGUUUUUGGCUUGGUUUUCUAGUGUUCUCUGCUGUCCUCUUACAGAUCUGCAUGUUUUUCUUAAAUGUUCUGAGUACCAGUCCAGGGUCUCACUUGGGCAUUGCAAAGAACUUCUCCCCUUAUGUCCCACUGGGGGGUUUGUUUCCUCUUCACUCUUGCUGGCAUCUAAGAGGAAAACAAGUUCUUAAUUUUAGUGUAUUCCAAUGUAUACAUUUUUCCACUAAGUUCAUGAUUUGAUGUCAUUUGAAAAAAUCUUUGCCUCCCACAAAAAUAUAAGAAUAGUUUCAUGUAUUUUACACAAGAAGAAGUAAUGAUUUACUUUUCACAUA